GUAGGUGGCAAGCGUUGUCCGGAUUUACUGGGCGUAAAGGGCUUGUAGGCGGUUUGUUAAGUCUGGUGUGAAAUCUCCCGGCUCAACCGGGAGGGGUCAUCGGAUACUGGCAGACUUGAGACGGGUAGAGGAAAGCAGAAUUCCCGGUGUAGCGGUGAAAUGCGUAGAUAUCGGGAGGAAUACCAGUGGCGAAGGCGGCUUUCUGGGCCUGUUCUGACGCUGAGGAGCGAAAGCGUGGGGAGCAAACCGGAUUAGAUACCCGGGUAGUCCACGCCCUAAACGGUGGAUGCUAGGUGUGGGGGGUGUCGACCCCCUCCGUGCCGCAGCUAACGCUUUAAGCAUCCCGCCUGGGGAGUACGGCCGCAAGGCUA
rnacentral:rRNA from 1 species